CACAGACACACAGACACACACACACACACACAGACACACACACACACACACACACACACACACACACACACACACACACACACACACACACACACACACACACACACACACACACACACACACACACAAUAUGUAAAAAUGUGUGACCACACUGCAGAAUAUAAGGCAGGGUAGCCUAGUGGUUAGAGUGUAGAGGCGGCAGGGUAGCCUAGUGGUUAGAGUGUAGAGGCGGCAGGGUAGCCUAGUGGUUAGAGUGUAGAGGUGGCAGGGUAGCCUAGUGGUUAGAGUGUAGAGGCGGCAGGGUAGCCUAGUGGUUAGAGUGUAGAGGCGGCAGGGUAGCCUAGUGGUUAGAGCGUAGAGGCGGCAGGGUAGCCUAGUGGUUAGAGUGUAGAGGCGGCAGGGUAGCCUAGUGGUUAGAGUGUAGAGGCGGCAGGGUAGCCUAGUGGUUAGAGCGUAGAGGCUGGCAGGGUAGCCUAGUGGUUAGAGCGUAGAGGCGGCAGGGUAGCCUAGGGGUUAGAGUGUAGAGGCGGCAGGGUAGCCUAGUGGUUAGAGUGUAGAGGCGGCAGGGUAGCCUAGUGGUUAGAGUGUAGAGGCGGCAAGGUAGCCUAGUGGUUAGAGUGUAGAGGCGGCAGCGUAGCCUAGUGGUUAGAGCGUUAUGGCCAGUAAUCGAAAGGUUGCUUGGUCGAAUCCCCCGAGCUGACAAGGUAAAAAUCUGUCGUUCUGCCCCUGAACAAGGCAGUUAAACGCCACUGUUCCUAGACCGUCAUUGAAAAUAAGAAUUUGUUCUUAACUGACUUGCCUAGUUAAAUAAAGGUUAAAUAAAUUAAUAAGAUUAAAAAACAAGGGCCCAUCCAAUUUGUUGAGAUUUGUUUUCCUUCUUCCACAAACAAGCAAUUCUUAAAUGUGAUUUAAAUUUGUCUGAACUAUUAGAAAGCGUGCACAGAAUUGAAAAGAUACGUUAAUUCUAUACUGAGGGAGCAUAAGCACUCAGAAACGAACAUUUAUUAGCAUUAGCAUUCUCAUAGAGAAUGACUGGGGGUGUUAGCUCGUUAACGUCGUGGCACGACAGAUCGCAAAUAUCCUAAUGUUAUCGUCAUAAAACAUUUCGCCACCGUUUCUGUCUUUUGUCGUUUGAUAUUCU
rnacentral:lncRNA from 1 species